CAGUAGCCGCGGUAAUACGAAGGGUGCAAGCGUUACUCGGAAUUACUGGGCGUAAAGCGUGCGUAGGUGGUGGUUAAGUCCGUUGUGAAAGCCCUGGGCUCAACCUGGGAAUUGCAGUGGAUACUGGGUCACUAGAGUGUGGUAGAGGAUAGUGGAAUUUCCGGUGUAGCAGUGAAAUGCGUAGAGAUCGGGAGGAACAUCAGUGGCGAAGGCGGCCAUCUGGGACAACACUGACGCUGAGGCACGAAAGCGUGGGGAGCAAACAGGAUUAGAUACCCCGGUAGUCCCUGUCUCUUAUACA
rnacentral:rRNA from 1 species